rnacentral:piRNA from 1 species
UAGGAUGCAUUGUGCAUGCACAUCCUGUGU